UCCCCUCCCCUCCCCCUGUUAAGUGGAUCUCUGGAACACAGCAUUACUUUUUAGUCGUUCAAAGUCCAGAUUAGAGAGACAGACAAGCGAUAGAACGGGAGAGAGAGAGAGAUAGAGGAGCGGUGGUGAUGGCGGAACGACCAUUGUCUCCCGCCAGCCACCGUCUUGGCCUUCGGUCAGACCGGUGGUGGGUUGUGGUGGUUUAGACGCGUGAAACGAUGGUGGAAGGCGGUGGUGGACGAGGGUUAAGCAUGAUAGUAUGACGACAAUAAUGUUAUCGGUGAUAGAUGAAGCCGACAAUGGCGGCUGUGGGUUCUAGGGUCCUGUCGUCGAUUCAGAUCAACAGCCGAAACCCUAGGGUUCCGGUGAACGUCAAUGUAGCAACGGCGAGGAGAAACAAGAUGAUGACGAAGAAAGCCUUAAAAUCUAUGGGCUUCUUAACGUCUGAACUGCUAUUGUUGGCUUGAUCUUUGAGGUAUGGUAUAUUUCUAUUACGUUUGAUUGUGUGCUUGCUGUGUUUUACUAGAAUUAGGUUUAUGUGAGGUAAGAUUAUGGCGUUUUGAUCUGUAGUUGGUUGAUACUUUCAGUUGGAUGAGUUGUAGAUUGUUUGUAAUUCGUAACCAUUAUACUUGAAAUUUUCUUUCGGGAAAACUAUCUGAACAAGAAGACAAAGGUUCAUAAGACUCUGCUCCGGAGCACAGGCUCUGAAACAUACGCCCAUGACAAAACUACAUAUUGUUGCAAGCACGAUGUGUUUUGGGAGCUCAGCCACCAUGAACAUGUGUUCCAAAAUCCAAAUGCCACCAAGAAAUAAUAUUAAAGCGGGAAAAUGCCUAACUUGGAUUCAUCUUUUUAUGGCAUCAUCAAUAGUGGUUCAGGGAACAAAAAAAUAUACGAUUGCCAGAGAGAUAUGGUGAAAGGAGUGAGCGCCAGGCAUGACGGCAAGUGGCCAGGCUGUGGCAGAGCAACGACGGUGAUACCGAUUUCCGUCGAGUGCUUGGUUGGGAUUCAUGAAACAGAAGACAAUGAGGCUUAUGGUAGAUCGGUUCGGACACAUAAGCGGCCGUGAUGUCGUACAAUAAGCGCCGAUGAUGGUCCCAUUAGUUUUACACAAGGAGAAUUCUAACUAUAUAUUAUGAUUGUAAUAAUAUAUUAUUGGUUUUUAAAUUAUUACUAGGUUUAAGUAGGCGAUGCCGUCAGUUGAUUGAGAUUUGGCUCAUGAUAUCCCGGAGCAUUGGUUAGCUAAUUUUGUGGUUGAUUUAAUGAAGAUGUAGGUUUCUGAUAUUAGCUUUGAUGAAGCAUAUACACUUGAUGCUACUUGCUAUGCCCCAAAUUUGAUUUGGCCCUAAGAUUUCAUGGAAGCUGCCGGAAAUGUGGUCCGAUCUAAAACCCAGACGCGGUCCGCUUAGGGGCUGUUAACAUCUCCUGAAGGCACCGCUUAACCCUGGUCGGAGAAGACGAUCCGAGUACGGCCAUCGGAAAAGAUAGAUCUUGUAGAUGUCGCUAUGGGUGCGCUGGUAGUUUGGCGGAUGAAGAACAAGAUGGCUGAAGUAGAGAAAGAAAGUGUGUGAAUGUGGGUGCUGGUGCUGGUGUUGUGGUGGUAGACUGGUAGGGCUGGGGACCGAUACAGAGAGAGUGUAUAGAAAGAGGUGAUAACAUCGUUUACUGAUAACUUUCUGAAUUUUGUUAAGGUGAACGGGAUUGUUACCCUUUUGUUCUUUCUAUUUUUUUAACAUAUUAAAAAUAUACAAUACUGUAAAAGUUUAGAAAAGGUUUUCACUAGCUGUGGUAGAGAAGUCUUGAGACUUGGGACAAUAGUAUGAUGGAUAGGUGACUGGGUGUAUUACUGUUUUAAACAUUGAUGUAUUUGAGCAUGCAUGUUCAUUAGUGCUAUUAUGUAAUUUUUUCCCUAUAAUUAACAAAACUUUGCAGA